AUUGAACGCUGGCGGCGUGCUUAACACAUGCAAGUCGAUCGGUAACGCGGGGGCAACCCUGGCGACGAGAGGCGGACGGGUGAGGAACGCUUGGGAAUCUGCCCUUCAGCGGGGGACAACCCGGGGAAACUCGGGCUAAUACCGCAUACGCUCCACGGAGGAAAGCCGGGGACCGCAAGGCCUGGCACUGAAGGAUGAGCCCAAGUCGGAUUAGCUGGUUGGCGGGGUAACGGCCCACCAAGGCGACGAUCCGUAGCUGGUCUGAGAGGACGAUCAGCCACACCGGAACUGAGACACGGUCCGGACUCCUACGGGAGGCAGCAGUGGGGAAUAUUGGACAAUGGGCGAAAGCCUGAUCCAGCGACGCCGCGUGGGUGAAGAAGGCCUGCGGGUUGUAAAGCCCUUUCGGUAGGGACGAAAGCUCUUGCCUUAACACGGCAGGAGGUUGACUUAACCUACAUAAGAAGCACCGGCUAACUCUGUGCCAGCAGCCGCGGUAA
rnacentral:rRNA from 1 species